CGUCUUCUCUUCUCUUGGUUUUGUUUCUUUUUUCAUCUAUAUAUGGAGUCUUUGAGAUUCAAACUUUUAGUCCUCAGGAGUUGAAUUUGUAGUAUGCAUUAAGAAACGUUACAUCCCAAUAACUCGAUCAAAUUGAGGUUUGUAUUUUGGUAAAUCAUUUACAUGGAUUGGUCGCCAGCUCCUGGGAUUCAAAACGGAAAUCUACAUCUCAAUCUUUAAGGCUCUGAUACCAUAGAACCAUUACAUUCGAAUAACUCGAGUUGUUGUGAGAGGUCCAAUAAGAUUCGUUUUUGAGCAUCUGUGUCAAAUUUUGCAAUAACCAGCCAGCUGUUUGGUUUUUGCUUAAACCCAUAGGCUGUUACAUAUU
rnacentral:lncRNA from 1 species